CUCGGCAUACAGCAAGUGCUUAAUCAAUUCAGGCCGAAUGCUGGACACAGUGCAUCGACCCCAAAAGCGAUGUGUCAGUCCAGGGCCGGAGCGGAGGGUGCGCAGGCCGCCGACGUGGGCGACACAGAAGGGACGAUGUGAGCGAGGCAAGGGCGGCCUCAACCCUGCAGGGGCGGGGCAGCGACUUAAGGACCGAGGCUUUCCGCAGCUCCCCCAAAAUGGAGACCUCUUGGCCGCGCGGCGGAGGGAGCACGGAGCCUGGAGCACCGGGUGCUAAAAUAGCAGCGCGAGUGCGCGCGAGGGUCUGGCGCAGAGGGCAAGCAAUGUGCCUGGCUCUGCAGGGUCAACCCCAACCUCCUGGAGUCCUCUGUUCUCUUCCCAUUCCAGCGACUCAGACUGGAACCUCUGCGGGGACAGGAGCUAAGUUGGCCCUUUCCCUAUGCUCAGGGUAUGGAGCAGCGCUUGCCUUCGAAGAAUUAACACAAAUAAUCAGCAAUGAUUUCACACGCCAUCUCUUACUGAACUCUCUCAAUAACCUCUCAAGGAAGUAUCUGAAAUUGUGUGGAAACAAUGUAUAAAGCAAAGGGCAGUUCCCGACAUUCAUGUGUUCCUGAGUCACUAACCCCCAAAUAACUUCUGGCUCUGCUGCUUUUCACUGCUUCUGAAAAUGACAUUACUUCAGCUUGUCCCAGCAAGGCCUCCAUUUUAUGUACAUUCCUGUCUGAAUACUUGAGAAGGACUCACAGAGUGCGCCAACAGCUUUGCGGUUUCUGAAGUGCUUUUAAGUUGCACGUGAGGAGGAAUGA